rnacentral:rRNA from 1 species
AGAGUUUGAUCCUGGCUCAGAACGUACGCUGGCGGCACGCCUUAUACAUGCAAGUCGAACGAAGUAGCAAUACUUAGUGGCAGACGGGUGAGUAACAUGUAGGUAUCUGCCCUUUGGCCUGGAAUAACACGAGGAAACUUGUGCUAAUACCGGAUAAGUCUUUACGGAGAAAGCUUUAUGCACCAUUGGAUGAGCCUGCACUUGAUUAGUUUGUUGGUGGGGUAAUGGCCUACCAAGACAAUGAUCAAUAGCUGAUUUGAGAGGAUGAUCAGCCACAUUGGAACUGAGACACGGUCCAAACUCCUACGGGAGGCAGCAGUAGGGAAUCUUGCACAAUGGAGGAAACUCUGAUGCAGCGAUGCCGCGUGAGUGAAGAAGGCCUUUGGGUUGUAAAGCUCUUUCGUCGGGGAAGAAAAUGACUGUACCCGAAUAAGAAGGUCCGGCUAACUUCGUGCCAGCAGCCGCGGUAAUACGAAGGGACCUAGCGUAGUUCGGAAUUACUGGGCUUAAAGAGUUCGUAGGUGGUUAAAAAAGUUGGUGGUGAAAUCCCAGAGCUUAACUCUGGAACUGCCAUCAAAACUUUUUAGCUAGAGUAUGAUAGAGGAAAGCAGAAUUUCUAGUGUAGAGGUGAAAUUCGUAGAUAUUAGAAAGAAUACCAAUUGCGAAGGCAGCUUUCUGGAUCAUUACUGACACUGAGGAACGAAAGCAUGGGUAGCGAAGAGGAUUAGAUACCCUCGUAGUCCAUGCCGUAAACGAUGUGUGUUAGACGUUGGAAAUUUAUUUUCAGUGUCGCAGCGAAAGCGAUAAACACACCGCCUGGGGAGUACGACCGCAAGGUUAAAACUCAAAUGAAUUGACGGGGACCCGCACAAGUAGUGGAGCAUGUGGUUUAAUUCGAAGAUACGCGCAGAACCUUACCAACACUUGACAUGUUCGUCGCGACUCUAAGAGAUUAGAGUUUUCGGUUCGGCCGGACGAAACACAGGUGCUGCAUGGCUGUCGUCAGCUCGUGUCGUGAGAUGUUGGGUUAAGUCCCGCAACGAGCGCAACCCUUACUUUUAGUUGCCAUCAUUUAGUUGGGCACUCUGAAAGAACUGCCAGUGAUAAGCUGGAGGAAGGUGGGGAUGACGUCAAGUCCUCAUGGCCCUUAUGUGUUGGGCUACACACGUGCUACAAUGGUAUCUACAACAGGAAGCAAGAUGGCAACAUUAAGCAAAUCCCAAAAAGAUACCUCAGUUCGGAUUGCACUCUGCAACUCGAGUGCAUGAAGCUGGAAUUACUAGUAAUCGUGGAUCAGCGUGCCACGGUGAAUACGUUCCCGGGUCUUGUACACACCGCCCGUCACACCAUGGGAGUUGGUUCUACCUUAAGGCAAAGUUUAAAACCUUUGACCACGGUAUAGUCAGCGACUGGGGUGAAGUCGUAACAAGGUAACC